GCAAAUAUAACAAGACUUUGAAUUUUAGCAGAAUCCAGCCAGCAAGACUGAGUGUCUUAAGAACACCUCACAUCCAUCCCACAGCAAGUAAGCUCCAGCAAGCAAGCAAGUAGUAGACAUUGACUGGGAUAAGCUUCAGACUGCAAGCCUACCUAAAGUAUAUGAGGACCAAGGGGGUGACAUUACCAAUAAGGUGGCCCUUUUAGAAGUUCAAUGGCAG